GGAGGGUGCAAGCGUUAAUCGGAAUUACUGGGCGUAAAGCGCACGCAGGCGGUUUGUUAAGUCAGAUGUGAAAUCCCCGGGCUCAACCUGGGAACUGCAUCUGAUACUGGCAAGCUUGAGUCUCGUAGAGGGGGGUAGAAUUCCAGGUGUAGCGGUGAAAUGCGUAGAGAUCUGGAGGAAUACCGGUGGCGAAGGCGGCCCCCUGGACGAAGACUGACGCUCAGGUGCGAGAGCGUGGGGAGCAAACAGGAUUAGAUACCCUGGUAGUCCACGCCGUAAACGAUGUCGACUUGGAGGUUGUGCCCUUGAGGCGUGGCUUCCGGAGCUAACGCGUUAAGUCGACCGCCUGGGGAGU
rnacentral:rRNA from 1 species